rnacentral:tRNA from 1 species
GGGCGAAUAGCUCAGCUGGGAGAGCACUUGCCUUACAAGCAAGGGGUCACAGGUGCGAGCCCUGUUUCGCCCACCA